CGGAGUCUAGCAUGUGCGCGAGUCAUUGGGAAUUAACCUAAAGGCGUAAUGAAAGUAAAAGUUCGUCUAGCGCGACUUAGGGUAGAUGAGCUACCGCUCCGCAUACCCGGGGCGUCUCAUUCUCAUUGCGAGAAGAGGCGCACCAAGAGCGUACACGCUGGGACCCGAAAGAUGGUGAACUAUGCCUGGUCAGGACGAAGUCAGGGGAAACCCUGAUGGAGGUCCGUAGCGAUUCUGACGUGCAAAUCGAUCGUCGGAACUGGGUAUAGGGGCGAAAGACUAAUCGAACCAUCUAGUAGCUGGUUCCCUCCGAAGUUUCCCUCAGGAUAGCUGGCGCUCAUAACGAGUUUCAUCCGGUAAAGCGAAUGAUUAGAGGCAUUGGGGUCGAAACGGCCUCAACCUAUUCUCAAACUUUAAAUGGGUGAGAUCUCCGGCUUGCUCGAAUCGAAUCAGAGUGCCAAGUGGGCCAUUUUUGGUAAGCAGAACUGGCGCUGUGGGAUGAACCAAACGCCGAGUUAAAGCGCCUAAAUCGACGCUUAUGGGAUACCAUGAAAGGCGUUGGUAACUUAAGACAUCAGGACGGUGGCCAUGGAAGUC
rnacentral:rRNA from 1 species